AGAGCUAUAGAAAGAACCCUUAACUAGGGGAAGGAACCUGCAGAAGUCUCAGCCUAACUACAUGUACAUGACUGACUGAAACAAUGGAGGUUUUCAGGGCUUUGGACUGAGACUGAGAGUUACACCAUUGGCUCCCCUGAUUCUCAGGCCUUCUGAUGUGGACUGAAUUACACCAGUGGCUUUUGUGUUUGUCCAGCUUGCAGACUGCAUAUCACGGGACUUCUUGGUCUCCAUAAUUGCAUGAGUCAAUUCCUAUAAUAAAUUCCUUCUUAUAUAUCUCUA